AGCAGCCGCGGUAAUUCCAGCUCCAAUAGCGUAUAUUAAAGUUGCUGCAGUUAAAAAGCUCGUAGUUGAAUUUCGGGACUAAUAUGUUGGUCGUGCCUCGGUACGUACUGAUAUUUUUGGUUUCUCCCUUCUGACGAACCUUGAUGUCAUUAAUUUGGUGUCUUGGGAAAUCAGGACUGUUACUUUGAAAAAAUUAGAGUGUUUAAAGCAGGCUCACGCUUGAAUACAUUAGCAUGGAAUAAUGAAAUAGGACGUUUGAUUCUAUUUUGUUGGUUUCUAGGAUCGACGUAAUGAUUAAUAGGGAUAGUUGGGGGCAUUAGUAUUCAAUUGUCAGAGGUGAAAUUCUUGGAUUUAUUGAAGACUGACUACUGCGAAAGCAUUUGCCAAGGAUGUUUUCAUUAAUCAAGAACGAAAGUUAGGGGAUCGAAGACGAUCAGAUACCGUCGUAGUCUUAACCAUAAACUAUGCCGACUAGGGAUCGGAUGAUGUUAAUUUUUUAAUGACUCAUUCGGCGCCUUACG
rnacentral:rRNA from 1 species